AUUGAACGCUGGCGGAAUGCUUUACACAUGCAAGUCGAACGGCAGCACGGGGCAGCCCUGGUGGCGAGUGGCGAACGGGUGAGUAAUACAUCGGAACGUGCCCGGUCGUGGGGGAUAACGUAGCGAAAGUUACGCUAAUACCGCAUACGAUCUGAGGAUGAAAGCGGGGGACCUUCGGGCCUCGCGCGAUCGGAGCGGCCGAUGUCAGAUUAGGUAGUUGGUGGGGUAAAGGCCUACCAAGCCGACGAUCUGUAGCUGGUCUGAGAGGACGACCAGCCACACUGGGACUGAGACACGGCCCAGACUCCUACGGGAGGCAGCAGUGGGGAAUUUUGGACAAUGGGCGCAAGCCUGAUCCAGCCAUUCCGCGUGCAGGACGAAGGCCUUCGGGUUGUAAACUGCUUUUGUACGGAACGAAAAGGCUCUGGCUAAUACCUGGGGCUCAUGACGGUACCGUAAGAAUAAGCACCGGCUAACUACGUG
rnacentral:rRNA from 1 species